rnacentral:rRNA from 1 species
GCUCAACCGAGGAAGUGCUUCGAAAACUGGUAAACUUGAGUGCAGAAGAGGAAAGUGGAACUCCAUGUGUAGCGGUGGAAUGCGUAGAUAUAUGGAAGAACACCAGUGGCGAAGGCGGCCUUCUGGUCUGUAACUGACGCUGAGAUUCGAAAGCAUGGGUAGCAAACAGGAUUAGAUACCCUGGUAGUCCAUGCCGUAAACGAUGAGUGCUAAGUGUUGGAGGGUUUCCGCCCUUCAGUGCUGCAGCUAACGCAUUAAGCACUCCGCCUGGGGAGUACGACCGCAAGGUUGAAACUCAAAGGAAUUGACGGGGGCCCGCACAAGCGGUGGAGCAUGUGGUUUAAUUCGAAGCAACGCGAAGAACCUUACCAGGUCUUGACAUACCAUGAAAAGCUUAGAGAUAAGUCUUUCCCUUCGGGGACAUGGAUACAGGUGGUGCAUGGUUGUCGUCAGCUCGUGUCGUGAGAUGUUGGGUUAAGUCCCGCAACGAGCGCAACCCUUAUUAUCAGUUGCCAGCAUUCAGUUGGGCACUCUGGUGAGACUGCCGGUGACAAACCGGAGGAAGGUGGGGACGACGUCAAAUCAUCAUGCCCCUUAUGACCUGGGCUACACACGUGCUACAAUGGUCGGUACAACG